rnacentral:misc_RNA from 1 species
GUGAAUCAUCGAAUUUUUGAACGCAUAUUGCACUCUCUGGGAUUCCGGAGAGUAUGCGUGUGUGAGGGUAAUUAAAAAGAAUCUUUACGAAUUUUUUUGGUGAAAGGAAAUGAGUUCUCUGUGUUUAUAGCGGUAGCUUGAAAUAAAUGGUAGUCUAAUUUUAGUCGAGACGCGUAAUAAUAUUAUUUAGUGAAAUUUUUAUUAUGUUACUAUCAAGUUUUGAUGCAUAAAAAUUGGGUUUGUAUGUGAUCAAUACAUAUAUUUUGUACAUUAGUUU